AACAAUAAAAGUUUUGCGUCCUAAAUAUGAAUUCAUCUACUAAUAUGAAUUCCAAAUCACAAUUUCGUGCCUUAAAUCUUCAUAUUCGAUCAACGAACGGCAAUAAAAGUAACAUUAACAUAAUUGAAUCCGACUGGUAAGGAUUUCAUUCCAUCCUUUUUUGGUGGCCUUCGUUUUGGUGUGCGAACAACAAAGCCAUAAGAACAAAUUUACUUUUGUUUUUUCCCGGAUCAAUGGAGGGUGAUUCAGGUAUCCAAUAUGCUUUUCAAUCCCAUCGGUCAUAUCCUGGGUAAAUUACGAGGAUGGUACUUGGCGAAUACACCAGAUUUCACAAUUCAUACCUAUUUGCAAAAAAUUACCCGAGAGAUACCCAUGGUUUGCAAAUUUGCACAAUUGACAUACCUACGUCUAACGGAGCAUGACGGAUCGUUAAAUAUUGACAUGUGCCACUCACAUGCGAAGGCAUAGGAGAUGUAUAUUGAAUAUUUCCAGCGGGUAUUGGUGCUAGAUUAAUUUUUAGAUGGAAGACAUAUUGAGUUUCCAAAAUAUGAAAUGGGCAAUUUUGUGGGUCCCACUAUAUUACCUGCUAGCAUGGAGUGAUGGGUAUGCUAUACAAUUUCCCCUUAGAUUAUCUAUACUCUAAGAAGAUUGUAAAAUACUAAAGUCUUAAUAUCACUAUCUUUAUUGGGUCUAGGAGGAGAUUACUGGCCAUGUUUUUCUAUGUAUGCAGAUGGCUCACUAACGUCACUAUAUGUUAUUUCAUAUGAACAUGAGCAUAGACUCUUUUUUUUUGUCAUAAACUUUGACUAGAGAUGAACACUAUGGUCCUCAUCUAUAUGUUUCUAAAAAUUGACUUUGGUUGAUGAUCUAAUGUGUUUUGGAUUUGGAUUUAUGUAUUACAUUUUUUAUUUAUAACCUAUCUCACCAUGGUUUAGAUUCACGUUUUUUCUACUUAUGAUAAUAGCAAUGCAAAUGAGUAAAAGUAAUUUUAAUUAUUAAGAAAAACUGCUUAGGGAUAGAGACUAACAUCUACUUUGUUUACCACCGGAUCUUAAUUGAUAAUGAGUUCUUAUUUUGGACACUCCUACAUUUUUUUAAUAUCAUUCGCAAUUUUGGAUGCGAUAUAUAGUAGAUAGGCAAUGAUGGUGAAAUGGCAUGGAGUAUACCUAAGAAUCUGUACGGCGCUCACCUUUCCUUUUUGUGGAUGUCAUAAUUGCAAGAUAACCACGUCAUUAGCAUGUUUUUUUCCCCAGAAUUUUACGCAGAAAGCCCGGGUUGAACCCAGGUUGUUUAGCUAGUACAUGUAUAUAUAUUAUUAUCUUCCUAUUGGAUACGCAAAAAUUUAUGUUUUAGUUUUUAUUAGUUGGAUUUUCAUCAUGAAAUAGUCAUAUGGAUAUAGAAAUUAAUUAUGAUGGUCAUAAUGAAUAUAGAUAGAGAUGCAAAUAUAUACUAAUAUACAUUAAUGUGUAGUAUAUCCAGGAAUGCCUGUGGAUUUGUUUUAAUGACGUGGUAUGAUUACGAAAAAAACUAACCGCAUUACUUUUAUUUAAAAUUUUUAAAAAAUGAAAUUCUUAUAAAUUUUGAGUUAAUAUGUUACAUCUUUAUGGAUUUUUCCCUUAUGUACUUAUCAGUUUAUAUACAAUCGGUAUAUAUCAUUCUGUAUAAGGUACCUUCCAAAUUUUCAGUAUAUUUUUCUUUUACAUGUUCAUACUUAUGUCAUCUAUCCAUUACAUACAAUCUGCCGCUGACAAACUAAAACUUUCUGAAUGGAAUAGUUGUGUUAGUAACGCUAUGGAAAGAACAGCAAGAAAUACAAUGUUUUGUAAUGCUCUUUUUAUUGCUUGCAAUAACAUUGGCAUUUCAUCUGACUGCGAAAAUCAACACAGAUAAUAAUUCAGCCAAAAGUAACUAGAUUGGGCAAGAUCACUGGCAAGGCUUAACCUUAGCAGCAAACCUCUUGAGUUACCAGAUCCUCUAGGCAUAAGUACUUGCUUGUGAGGACGCAGUAAAUGUGGAAGGGAUACAAAAGUCAAAAGUUGAACGCAUUGCUACUUGUAGUGCGAAGUUCCUAGUGUUUGUGAUGAUAUUUAUUGCUGGCAUUCACGGAUACCCCGUGAUGCUGCGGCAGUGGCGACAUGAUGGCGGUGGCGGAUAGACGGGAUGGUGAUUAGACGGGGAAAAAUGUUGGUUAUUAAUAUUAAAUGAUUAGUGUACUUAUUUUAAGAAUUAAUGGGUAUAUAUUGUAAAUUAAUUUCAUUAAGAGUAUAUUGUAUACAAUAACACUAUGGAUAGUGUUAGUUAUAUUAGUAAAAACAUUUAUGGUAUUUUAAAGGUAGAAAAGUU